rnacentral:rRNA from 1 species
UACCUAUUUGAAAAAUAGGGUCGGUUCGGCCGGAUUUCACACAGGUGUUGCAUGGCUGUCGUCAGCUCGUGUCGUGAGAUGUUGGGUUAAGUCCCGCAACGAGCGUAACCCUCAUCCUUAGUUGCCAUCAGGUAAUGCUGAGCACUUUAAGGAAACUGCUAGUGAUAAACUGGAGGAAGGUGGGGAUGAUGUCAAGUCAUCAUGGCCCUUAUGGAGUGGGCUACACACGUGCUACAAUGGUGGCUACAAUGGGCUGCAAAGUCGCGAGGCCAAGCUAAUCCCUUAAAAGCCAUCUCAGUUCGGAUUGUACUCUGCAACUCGAGUGCAUGAAGUUGGAAUCGCUAGUAAUCGUGGAUCAGCAUGCCACGGUGAAUACGUUCUCGGGUCUUGUACACACUGCCCGUCACGCCAUGGGAAUUGGUUUCACUCGAAGCUAAUGACCUAACCGCAAGGAGGGAGUUAUUUAAAGUGGGAUCAGUGACUGGGGUGAAGUCGUAACAAGGUAGGCGUACUACA